ACAGAUGUAUGAAGCAAUGGAUACGCUGCCAGCCUUUGGGCUGGGCCAGGGCAGCAUCUUCGGGGAAAACACAAUGGACACACAACCCGCCACAGGACACAGUCAGUUCAGUAUAUUCUCGGACAAUGACAUGGACACUCUUCCUGCAGCAGGACCUGCACAGUUUAGCA